CGAGGGGUUGCUGCAUGCGUGUACGUAUUUCUAGUUAUUAGUAUAACACUAUCGUUUCGUCGCCGUAUUCUAUUGCGAAUUAAACUCUUUGACAGUUUUAUGAUAUUUUUAUUAUUUCUAUAUGAGUUAUACAUGACCAUUGUAUUGUUGUAUUAUUGACGGGUAUAUGCCGAUUUUAUUCGAGAGAAGUCCGUUAAAAGAGUCGACGUUAUAGUUUACGGCUAUAUGGCGAGUCCUUCCUCCCUUAUUUCAAGGAUGGUUAUAGGCGGGCGCGGGCAAAGGCUGGAUGCAUGCGGGCUAUACAAGCAGCGCCUACUUGGGUAUUUUGGCCUGUAGAAUCGAUUUCCGGUGUUUUCAGAGUCCUAGGAUACAAAUGUCC